rnacentral:sRNA from 1 species
GCAGUUUUACUAUCAGAAUCCAGAGCUACGAAAUUAUAAAAUUUGUAUUUUCAGUAAUAAAAGCUCAAAUACUGAAGAGAAUCCAAUGUUUUUUUUUUGUAACAAAGAAACCGAUGUUUAUAUAUUUAGUUUCCGUAAAAUUUGGAGUCAAUCUAUAAAACUCAAAUCUCUUGAACGAUUAUUUCUAAUUUGUCGUGUUUGAUUACCGUUGUCGUUAUUCAUUAUGGUUGGAUAAAUGAACACAUGGAAACCUCAAUCUCUAUUAUAGGUAUAGAGUGACAUCGUAUUUAUGACAAUUCGACAAUUGUUUAUGUUUUUCUGUCGGACGUAACGGUUUUAAGAAUCGAGAAAACUUUCUUGAUUUAGGGUCCUUGCAUCUAUCAUUCGUGUUUGCCUUUUUGAGACGAAUCAUGUGCAUGCGAGUCAGAUGAUCUGACAACUGACAAACAGAGAAUCCGAUGUUUAAAUAUUUAGUUUCCGCAAAAUUUGGAGAUGACUUAUGAAACUCAUAACUCUUGACCGAUCAAUCUUAAUGUGUCUUAUUGAUUACCGUUGUCGUUAUUAAUUAUGGUUGGAUAAAUGAACACAUGGAAACCCUAAUCUCUAUUAUAGGUAUAGAGUGACAUCGUAUUAAUUAAUAACAAUUCGAUAAUUGUUUAUAUAUGUCUGUCAGACCUAACGGUUUUGAGAAUCUAGAAAACUUUUUUUAUUUAGGGUUCUUGCGUCUAUCACUAGUG